rnacentral:lncRNA from 1 species
UUUACCCAAGUCGACAUUAAUGUUAAUUUAGCGUUUCAUUACAAAUUUCCACCAAAUGUUGCAACAAACAAUAUUUGAUUGACAUGUUUGUAUCUAAUAUCUAAAAUAUAUUUUCGUAAAUAAUGAAAAAGAAAGUAAUUUAAAAUGAAUCCUUGUCUCUGGUAUAUAUGAUCAGCUGAUGGGGUUCUAGGUUCUGCUCACAGUGGCUGCUGUUGGGUCAGAUUUAGUUUGGAAGUACCCGUUCUGGGACUCGUCACCCUCAGCACCGCUCUCCAACAGAUAAGCCGCUGCUGGUGUGUGUUUUAGAUUUUGGAAUAUUAUUGUUUGCUCUCAAAACCUUACGAACAAAUGACUGCGGAGCUGCGCCGAGAGUGGCUCAAAUGUCCUUUUAGAGGAGCGAGCACGCUGAUGCGUUUCCGUGGAGAAUUCCCCCGGAGGAGAUUCCAUUCAGACGGGCUCCUGAGGGGUUUAAUGGCCCAAAUGCAGCCGCUCGGCCCUGACGUUCCCUCACGGACGCCGGAGUCACUGCAACCGGGAAGACAGCGUGUGUUUGCGCGUGUUUACGCACACAUCAUUAGCGAUUAUCACGAGGAUGCCUCCUAG